GAUUAACGCUGGCGGCGUGCAUAACACAUGCAAGUCGAACGAUGAAACUUAGUAGACUUCUUCUGCACGACACUCAGCGGGGUAGUUGCCACCGGGUGAGUAACGCCUGAGUAACCUGCCUUACACAAGGGGCUAGCCUUUGGAAACGAAGAAUAAUACCCUAUAAAACCAUAAAAUCACAUGCUAGAAUGGUCAAGGUGAUAGCGGUGUCAGUUGGACUUGCUUCUGAUUAGCUAGUUGGCGAGAUAAACGCCCACCAAGCCAACGAUCAGUAGCCGGCGGGAGAGAGGGUACGGUGGGACUGGGACUGGGACACGGCCCAGACGGCUACGGGAAGCAGCAGUGGGGAAAUUUGGACCAGGGGGGAAACGCAGAUGCGGCGAGGGCGCGUGAUUUAGAAGGCGGUUGGAUUGUAAAAAUCUUUUGUAUAGGAAGAAAAUGACAGUAAUAUAUGAAUAAGGACCGGCUAAUUACGUG
rnacentral:rRNA from 1 species